rnacentral:SRP_RNA from 1 species
GCUGGGCACGGUGGCGCGUGCCUGUAAUCCCAGCUACUCAGGAGGCUGAGGCAGGAGAAUUGCCUGAACCCAGGAGGCGGAGGUUGCGGUGAGCUGAGAUCGCACCAUUGCACUCCAGCCUGGGUGACAAGAGCAAAACUCCGUCUCAAAAAAAAAAAAAGACAGCCUCUCGCCCAGGCUGAGUGCAGUGGUGCAAUCAUGGCUCACUGCAGCCUCCAUCUCCUGGGCUCAAGCAAUCCUCCCGCCUCAG